UUUUAUUAAUAUAUUUUAUAGUAUUAUAUUUUUAUAUUAAAAUUUUUAUAAUUUUAUAGUAAUUGGUAUAGAAUUAAUUUUUAGUUUGGUAUUGAAAAAGAAUAGAAUUAUUAUAGUUAAAGUAAAAUUUAAAAUUUGUACCUUUUGCAUAAUGGUUUGAUAAUAUUAAUUGAUUUAUAUUUAGGUUCUCGAAAUAUAAAGAUUUAUUUACUUUAUUAUAUAAAAAUAGUUAACGUGGUAUAGUUAUUAUUUUAAAGGUAAAUGGUAGUGAAAUGUUAUACGGUUUAUAUGGUAGCUAGUUUAUUUGUUUUAAACAUUUUAGUGUUGUUUAAAGUUAAUUAUUAUUAGUAAUAGUAAUUUUAAUUUAAUUAUUAAGGGAUAAGCUUUAAUUUGUUUGUAAAAAGUUGAUUAUAAUGAAGUAAUUAGAGUUGAAUUAAUAAUUUUUCUUUAAGAUAUUAUUUUAAUAUAUAUUUAUAUUAAUCUUUUUUAUUUUAUUAAAUAAAUUUAUUUGUAUUAAUUUAAAUUUAUAUAUAAUGUUAAAAUCAGUAUUAUAUAAUGUUUAAAUAUAAUUUAGUGGGAGUUAAGAUUAAUUUUUUAUUAUAUUUUAUGUUAUUUAAGUAAAUUAAAGGAAUUUGGCAAAUAUUAAUUUCGCCUGUUUAUCAAAAACAUGUCUCUUUGAGUAUUUUUAAUAGAGAGUUGGGCCUGCUCAGUGAAUAAUAUUAAACAGCUGCGGUAUUAUAACUGUACUAAGGUAGCAUAAUAAUUUGCCUUAUAAAUUGAGGCUAGAAUGAAUGGUUUGACGAAAAUUAUACUGUCUCUAGUUUAUUUAUUAGAAGUUAAUUUUUAUAGUGAAAAAGCUUAAAUAAUUUGAAGGGACGAGAAGACCCUAUUGAGCUUUAUAUUAUAUAUUAAAGUUAUAAUUGUAUUUAUUUAAUAUAAUUUUGGUUGGGGUGAUCAAGGAAUAAAAAUUAAUUUAUUAACUUCCUUAAUAGAAUUAAUAUAUAUAUAUUAAUAAACCAAUAAUUUUGCUUAGAAGAUAAGUUACCAUAGGGAUAACAGCGUAAUUUUUUUUGAAAGUUCUUAUUGAAAAAGGAGAUUGCGACCUCGAUGUUGGAUUAAAAUAACCUUAAGGUGUAGAGGCUUUAAUUGGUAAAUCUGUUCGAUUUUUAAAAUUUUACAUGAUCUGAGUUCAAACCGGUGUAAACCAGGUUGGUUUUUAUCUUUUAAAUUUAAUUUUAUAUUUAAUUUAGUACGAAAGGAUUAAUUAAAAUUAAUUUAUAAAUUAAUUUUGUAAGUUU
rnacentral:rRNA from 1 species